rnacentral:rRNA from 1 species
UACGUAGGGGGCGAGCGUUGUCCGGAUUUACUGGGCGUAAAGAGCGCGUAGGCGGCAAUUUAAGCGUGGCCUGAAAGCCCCCGGCUCAACCGGGGAGUGCGGCUGCGAACUGGGUUUCUUGAGGACGAUAGAGGAGAGUGGAAUUCCUGGUGUAGCGGUGAAAUGCGUAGAUAUCAGGAGGAACACCCGAGGCGAAGGCGGCUCUCUGGGUCGUACCUGACGCUGAGGCGCGAAAGCGUGGGGAGCGAACGGG